rnacentral:rRNA from 1 species
UGCAGUCGAGCGGCAGCGGAAAGUAGCUUGCUACUUUGCCGGCGAGCGGCGGACGGGUGAGUAAUGUCUGGGAAACUGCCUGAUGGAGGGGGAUAACUACUGGAAACGGUGGCUAAUACCGCAUAACGUCGCAAGACCAAAGUGGGGGACCUUCGGGCCUCACGCCAUCGGAUGUGCCCAGAUGGGAUUAGCUAGUAGGUGGGGUAAUGGCUCACCUAGGCGACGAUCCCUAGCUGGUCUGAGAGGAUGACCAGCCACACUGGAACUGAGACACGGUCCAGACUCCUACGGGAGGCAGCAGUGGGGAAUAUUGCACAAUGGGCGCAAGCCUGAUGCAGCCAUGCCGCGUGUGUGAAGAAGGCCUUCGGGUUGUAAAGCACUUUCAGCGAGGAGGAAGGCAUUUCACUUAAUACGUGAAGUGAUUGACGUUACUCGCAGAAGAAGCACCGGCUAACUCCGUGCCAGCAGCCGCGGUAAUACGGAGGGUGCAAGCGUUAAUCGGAAUUACUGGGCGUAAAGCGCAC